rnacentral:rRNA from 1 species
GAUGAACGCUGGCGGCGUGCCUAAUACAUGCAAGUCGAACGCUGGAAAUCUAGCUUGCUAGCUUGAAGGAGUGGCGAACGGGUGAGUAAUACAUAAGCAACCUACCCACGAAGACUGGGAUAAUCUCUGGAAACGGGGACUAAUACCGGAUAGGUAAUCGGAAGGCAUCUUCUGAUUAUUAAAGGUUAAAAACACUGGUGGAUGGGCUUAUGGCGCAUUAGUUAGUUGGUGAGGUAACGGCCCACCAAGACGAUGAUGCGUAGCCGGCCUGAGAGGGUGAACGGGCACAUUGGGACUGAGACACGGCCCAGACUCCUACGGGAGGCAGCAGUAGGGAAUUUUCGGCAAUGGGGGAAACCCUGACCGAGCAACGCCGCGUGAGUGAUGACGGCCUUCGGGUUGUAAAGCUCUGUUGUAAGGGAAGAACGGUAGAUAGAGAAUAUCUAAAUGACGGUACCUUACCAGAAAGCCACGGCUAACUACGUG